CGAGGGCUGGUAUCAGGAAAACAAAAUGGCCUUUAUUAACAUGAGCGGGGAAACAAAUAGGACCACAAGGGGUGAAAAUGGGAAGACUGACUCGGGGAUGGGCACAGGCAACAGGAGGACUGACGUUAAUGAUCAGACUGGGGAUGGCGAGACAAACAGAUACGUCAUUAUCAAGACUACCGAGGGACAACAAGCAACAGGCACAGCUCAUCAGGGUCACACAAGGGAGGAGACAGAAGUGUCACAUGGACAUGGUGGGCAGGGCAUAACAACAGGACACUAACUCAUCUCUUUGACUCAUCGCUGCCCUGUUCCACCUGUACUAAAUUACUCACCCUCCAUGUUUUCAGACACAUUUACACCUCACGUGUACCACCUGCACUGUCCUACACGCGUCCUGGUUCUUUAUUCAUUCAUUAUUUACUUGCUUCUUCGGGAGGGAAUGCUGUGUUGGACUUGUUUAUUUUUGUAAGUCGGCUGCCCUGGGGGAUCAGAAAAGCUCUAUCUUAUCUUAUUAAACACGGAUGUUCACUCGAGCGCAGCCCCUAGGACUCCAGGGCUGCUAAGAAUGACGUCACAGCGAGACUCAUGUUUACCGCCUCCCCAGGCAUGGGCAGCGUGUCACGGGCAGCACAGGAAGUCUGCCGAAAUCCUUCCUGUGCAGCCUGGGGGGGGUCAGUCUGCCAGGGGCAACAGGAAGGAAGGACAGAGUCAAACCUGAUCAGAUGUGCCGGGAAUACAGGAGCCUGAGACUGAACGUGGCAGCACAUUACAGAGCUUCACAUAACAGGAUUACUGUUCAAUGACUACCAUGACCCUCAGCAGGACUCACAACUGUAGGUGGGGACAGGCAUGAAGGUUGACCACUGAAGUGCGUGCCGAAUCCAAGGACUUCAUUUCAUCACUAUGGAUCUCCUCAGAGCUCGCAAGACUGCAGUCACCGAGCGCCAGCCUAUCCGUCUCACCUUCCAUCUUAUCAUCACUCAUGAACUCUUGAGAAAUGCGCAAGACAAUUUGGAAUUGUUGGAUUUCCAGGUGGUAAACUUAAACUCCCUGACACAUCUGGCUAUAGACACAGAAGAUGCUCUGUUACUCUACAACCCAAUUUUGCACCAUGAAGG